rnacentral:rRNA from 1 species
GAUGAACGCUGGCGGCGUGCUUAACACAUGCAAGUCGAACGAUGAAGCCCAGCUUGCUGGGUGGAUUAGUGGCGAACGGGUGAGUAACACGUGAGUAACCUGCCCUUAACUCUGGGAUAAGCCUGGGAAACUGGGUCUAAUACCGGAUAGGAGCGUCCACCGCAUGGUGGGUGUUGGAAAGAUUUAUCGGUUUUGGAUGGACUCGCGGCCUAUCAGCUUGUUGGUGAGGUAAUGGCUCACCAAGGCGACGACGGGUAGCCGGCCUGAGAGGGUGACCGGCCACAGUGGGAGAGAGACCCCGCCCACCCCCCGCGGGGGGCAAGGAGGGGGAAUUUUUCAACAUGGGGCGCAACCUUUAUCCAGCACCGCCGGGGGAGGGAGGACGGCCUUCGGUUUGUAACCCUUUUUCGGGAGGAAAAAAGCGAAAGGGCGGCUACCUGCAAAAGAACCACGGCCUAGCUCGGGC